CCUACGGGAGGCAGCAGUGAGGAAUAUUGGACAAUGGGCGCAAGCCUGAUCCAGCCAUGCCGCGUGCAGGAAGACGGUCCUAUGGAUUGUAAACUGCUUUUAUACAGGAAGAAACACACCCUCGUGAGGGAGCUUGACGGUACUGUAAGAAUAAGGAUCGGCUAACUCCGUGCCAGCAGCCGCGGUAAUACGGAGGAUCCAAGCGUUAUCCGGAAUCAUUGGGUUUAAAGGGUCCGUAGGCGGUUUAAUAAGUCAGUGGUGAAAUCUGGUCGCUCAACGAUCAAACGGCCAUUGAUACUGUUAGACUUGAAUUAUAAGGAAGUAACUAGAAUAUGUAGUGUAGCGGUGAAAUGCUUAGAUAUUACAUGGAAUACCAAUUGCGAAGGCAGGUUACUACUUAUGGAUUGACGCUGAUGGACGAAAGCGUGGGGAGCGAACAGGAUUAGAUACCCUGGUAGUCCACGCCGUAAACGAUGGAUACUAGCUGUUCGGAGCAAUCUGAGUGGCUAAGCGAAAGUGAUAAGUAUCCCACCUGGGGAGUACGUUCGCAAGAAUGAAACUCAAAGGAAUUGACGG
rnacentral:rRNA from 1 species